ACUGGAUGCUUGACGCAAUGAAUUAAUCUUUUGAGAGGGGCUUUCCGUAGGUCAUAACACGCACUUGGCAAACAGCGCACAAGAUGAAAUCGCAGCGCAAGCAGCUUCCUGAAACGAGGAAUGAUGAUAAUGAUAAUUUGCGUAUUCGACGAUAUAUUGCUAAAUAUACCAUCAACCCAGCCAUUGCUCACGGUGUAUCUCACCUCAUUGGCUCUGUCGAAGUAAGCUCACCACACGUAUCUUGUUUCUUGAUGUCACUGCGUUCAUUAGAUCUCAGGGAUCAUCCACACCUACUGGAUCUAUCUCAUUACCAUAUGGAGCUUGUGAAUGGUCUAUUCAACUUAAGACGAAUCUUUGAAAUUGUUUCGUCGUUCGUGUUCCUGAUGCUAUCUU
rnacentral:lncRNA from 1 species